GGGCCGGUGGUCCAGUCUGGUAGGACGCCGCCUUUACGAGGCGGAAGCCGCCGGUUCGAAUCCGGCCCGGCCCA
rnacentral:tRNA from 1 species